rnacentral:rRNA from 1 species
UUGUAGCCUGCUAUGGUAUAACUUAGUGGCAGACGGGUGAGUAAUGUAUAGGAAUCUACCUAGUAGUACGGAAUAAUUGUUGGAAACGGCAACUAAUACCGUAUACGCCCUACGGGGGAAAAAUUUAUUGCUAUUAGAUGAGCCUAUAUUAGAUUAGCUAGUUGGUGGAGUAAUAGCCUACCAAGGCAAUGAUCUAUAGCUGAUCUGAGAGGAUGAUCAGCCACACUGGAACUGAGAUACGGUCCAGACUCCUACGGGAGGCAGCAGUGGGGAAUAUUGGACAAUGGGCGAAAGCCUGAUCCAGCCAUGCCGCAUGAGUGAAGAAGGCCUUUGGGUUGUAAAGCUCUUUUAGUGAGGAAGAUAAUGACGGUACUCACAGAAGAAGUCCUGGCUAACUCCGUGCCAGCAGCCGCGGUAAUACGGAGAGGGCUAGCGUUAUUCGGAAUUAUUGGGCGUAAAGGGCGCGUAGGCGGAUUAGUAAGUUAAAAGUGAAAUCCCAAGGCUCAACCUUGGAAUUGCUUUUAAAACUGCUAAUCUAGAGAUUGAAAGAGGAUAGAGGAAUUCCUAGUGUAGAGGUGAAAUUCGUAAAUAUUAGGAGGAACACCAGUGGCGAAGGCGUCUAUCUGGUUCAAGUCUGACGCUGAGGCGCGAAGGCGUGGGGAGCAAACAGGAUUAGAUACCCUGGUAGUCCACGCUGUAAACGAUGAAUGUUAAAUAUGGGAAGUUUUACUUUCUGUAUUACAGCUAACGCGUUAAACAUUCCGCCUGGGGACUACGGUCGCAAGAUUAAAACUCAAAGGAAUUGACGGGGACCCGCACAAGCGGUGGAGCAUGUGGUUUAAUUCGAUGCAACGCGAAAAACCUUACCACUCCUUGACAUGAAAAUCAUACCUAUUC